rnacentral:rRNA from 1 species
GAUCCUGGCUCAGAUUGAACGCUGGCGGCAGGCUUAACACAUGCAAGUCGAACGGUAACAUAAAGAAGCUUGCUUCUUUGAUGACGAGUGGCGGACGGGUGAGUAAUGCUUGGGAAUCUAGCUUAUGGAGGGGGAUAACUACGGGAAACUGUAGCUAAUACCGCGUAAUAUCGAAAGAUUAAAGUGUGGGACCUCGGCGCACUGCCACUAGGAGUGAGCCACGAGGAGUAGUAGUGUGU